AGAGUGAACGCUGGCGGUAGGCCUAACACAUGCAAGUCGAACGGCAGCACAGUGGUAGCAAUACCAUGGGUGGCGAGUGGCGGACGGGUGAGGAAUACAUCGGAAUCUACCUUUUCGUGGGGGAUAACGUAGGGAAACUUACGCUAAUACCGCAUACGCCCUUUGGGGGAAAGCCGGGAUCGCAAGACCUGGCGCGGAUAGAUGAGCCGAUGUCGGAUUAGCUAGUUGGUGAGGUAAUGGCUCACCAAGGCGACGAUCCGUAGCUGGUCUGAGAGGAUGAUCAGCCACACUGGAACUGACGACACGGUCCAGACUCCUACGGGAGCAGCAGUGGGGAAUAUGGACAA
rnacentral:rRNA from 1 species